rnacentral:lncRNA from 1 species
UGCAAAUUAAAUAUUUAAAAGCAUGAAAACAUAGUAUUAGUAUGUACUUGUGGAUGGUAAAGUAAUGGCUGACCAAAAGUGAUCUUCAAGUGUAAUAAUAAGGCUUGAAUAUCAUCAAGCUUGAAGGCAAACAAGUCAUAAAGAAGGAAUAUAGAGCAUACAAGUGGUACUGUUACAGAUAGAGGUAGGAUGCAAGGUCUUCUCUGCCACGACUAGUUCAACAGUGGAGAUUAAGUUUGAGAACUUGUCCGUAUAAACCUAUCAAGAUGUUGAGAGGAGGAAGGAGAGCUACACUGACCUGGUGGUUUUUCAUCCGCCAUGGCUGGAAACCUCUGAUCCCCAAAAGAUUGUAUGAAAUGAGUUGGUAAAGUAGACUUAGAUGGGAAGAAAACUGCAGAAGGGGUUGACUAAAGGAGACUAAAGGUUUUAUUCUUGUGUGUUUGGCUGCAGGAUUGUGGGUGGACCCUCAAUGACUUAAAUCGUGAUGAUUCAUUUUAUUAUUUCAAUAAAUAAAAAAGUAAUAAUUUUUUAUUUUGUAGUCCCACUGAGUCUUUUAACUUCUUUUGCUAAUAGCUAGAGAAAGUGAAAAAAAUAGGAAACAUCAUCUACCAAUGUUAUGGAGCUUGACCACAUAAACAAUUUUUUUUUUUUUUUUUUGUCUCUCUUAAAUUUUUAUUUUUUACAAUCUCAAUUUCUCAUAUUUCCUUAUUGGCAUAAGUAUUUUUAUUUUUUAAAAUUUAAAUGAAAUUUUAUUUCCCUCUUACUUUUUCCACAUUUCUAAUUUUUCUUUGAAACAUGCUCAUUAAAAUUAAGUUCCAUAUGUUUGUUUUUGUACUUUUUACCUUUUAAUAUAAUAUUAAUUUUUUUUCCCAAACUUACAAUGGUUUUUCACUUAAAUGAUUACUUAUGGUUGUUAUUUCCUUAAAGAAUAUCUUUAUUCUUUUUCUAAACUUCAAAGGAUUAUCCUUAUUAUAUUUUAACUUUUUUUUUAUAAGAAAAAAUAGCUUAUCAUGAAUGGAUAUAUAAUAAUAUGUCCAUGGAUAAAGGAUAAAGCAAAAGAAAUGUUAUUUGGUUUUAUAGGUUAUGUUUGGUUCCUGGAAAAUGUUAAGGAAAGGAAAAAAAAUCAUGUGGAAAAUGAUUUUCUUUAGUUUGGGUUACAUAGAAAAUAUGAUGGAAAAAAAAUAUAAAUGAAAAUAUUAAAGAAAAUAUCAUAACAUUUUUCCUACUAUUUUCCUUAAAAAAUAAGGGAGAAAAUAAGAGAAAAGAGAGGGGAAAAGUUGGGGAAAAUUUUAUCCGGGUGGUAUCGGCUUGCCAGAAGUGAAGGCUUUGCGAAUGAGGGGACCGAGAUCUUCAUUGUUGCAGAUGGCGGAGGAGAGGAGAAGUUGAUCAAACUUCUCAGAUGAGUAGCCGUUGGUGGUCGUCGGGACCACUUUGCAGCGCAUUUUCGACGACUCCAUCAUUGUUUAACCGUUGGAGACGGCAAAGGAGCAGUGGUUGUAUCGCUCUGGGUUUCAUCAGGAAACUCAUUUUCUCGCUCUUUCACUUUCUGGGUCUCUUCGAUUUCUUGGAAACUGACGUUUCAUGGUCCGAAAUGCAAACGCAAGUGUCGGAAUACCAGCUUGUAUCGGCGGUUCUGAUUCGUGAAAUCUUUCUGGUGAUGAAGUUCGGGGAGGCGGUUUGCGAUGGCAACGCGUCGUAUGUCUGUACGACUUCGAGGUAGGAGAAGAGAUCAGGCGGUUGACCAAUUGUAAACACAUUUUCCAUCGAAGCUGUUUGGACCGUUGGAUGGAUCACGAUCAGAAGUUGUGCCUGAUGAGAUGCAAGAUGAGUUUAAUCAACGGCUCAGGGCUGCCUCUGGGAUCACAUGGGUUUUAUUUUAUUUUUAAAAUUUUGGUAUGGUGAGGGUGAGAGGGUUGAACUGUAUAUACACGAAGAAGGAAAAAAAAAUGCCAGGUACCAUUAAAAAAGGGUAAGUUUUCAAUAGUUAUUGAACAAUGGACUCCCAUAAAAUGCGUUCUUCUAUAAUUAUUUUUUAGAAAGUAAGAGUACAAAAUUUAUUUUAUUAUUUAAUAAAUUGAUAAUCAUUUAAGACAAAUUAUUGAUUUUGUUUUCCUUCUAUUUUUCCUUAACUUUUUUUCGUGGUUAACCAAACAAAAGAAAAUGAAUUCAAUUUUUUUUUUCCCUGAAUUUUUCAUAGAUAAUCAAACAAGUGAAAAAAUUUAUAUUCCUCUCCUUAGUUUUUUCUUUCCUUCCAUUUUUUCUCCCGAUUUUCUUUCUCUCGCAUUUUCUGGGAACCAAACAUAACCAUAAAGUCUAUUUUGAGUUAUUUAGAGAUUGUUUGGCCUUAUGAUUAAAAGGUAAAUCGUAGUUCUUUGUUUUCGAUUCUUAAAAAUAAACUAAUAAAGUGAAAUAAAAAGUAGCUAUUGACCCCUCAUUUUGGGUCGGGUAAGAAGGCUUUUUUUAUUUUUUAUUUUAUUUUAUAUUUUUAUUUAAGGCCAGCUGGGGCUGUUAAGAGCUAUGGAGAAGAUAUUCUUCGGGGUUCAGAUGAGAACACGUGGCAAAAAGGGGAUAUUCUGGUGGUUUGUUGAGGCAGCUGAUAUUCUCUGCAGGUGAGGACAUGUUUCGUAGGGGGAUUGCUUAUUCUUUUGGGGUUGGUUAGUGAGCUGAAAAGCAAAAGGAACCAGUAGAGCUUGGGGGUAGCAAGAUUUCUAGGGGGGAGCCAUUUUUGAGAGGAGGGGAAAACCGGUGGAAGCUGUGGGAAGCACAUUCAGAGCUCUUGAGAGAGAGGACUGAUACAUGAGAGAGCAAAAACAGAGAUCUGGAGUGUGUGUCUUAGAGAAAAGAAGAGAAGAACGAGCAGAAGCAGAGGCUGGAGCUGACUGGAUUUCGGUUUUAGGAGAAGAAGCAGAGCACCUUGAAGCCAAGUAAAUCUUUGUUUGAGGGAAGCUUUCCAGGUAUGACUACUGUGAGCUUCUUUUCUUGUCCCUGGUUGUGGCUCCAUUGUAUCAUGUCAGUUGGUUCAUUUGAUACAACAUUCCAAUCAAAGUUUUGUACCUUCAUCAUGGGCUAUUGUCCCUUAGGUUCCCAUGGAAUUCCAACCUAAUUAUGCUCUAAUGUGUAAAUUAAUAGAGCUUUUGAUUCUAUAUUCUCAAUAAAAAUAUAGCUUUUUCAGAUAUCUUUGGAAGUAGGUGAGCAUUUACAAUGAUUUUAGUUGAUAUUUAUAAACUCUAAUACAUGUCAUUGCUAAAAUGAUUCAAAGUUUUUCUUUCCAAAAUGAAUGAAUGAUCAUUAUUGAAGUAGCACUUGGUCACUGAAGAUUUUUCCUUUCAUAAUAAUCUAAUUCAUUGAAGAUUUUUUCCAUAUAAAAAUUAAGAGUAAUUAAGUGUGAAAUUGAAAGAUACAUAUUUAGGGAUGAGAAUAGGAUGGGUUUAGGCGGGUCAUCCUCGUCCCAACUCUGCCCUGUUUAUUUAAAAUAAUUUUCAUCCCUAUCCAUUUAAAAAUUUAAAUAGGUGGGGUGGGGUGGGGUGGGUAUAGGAAAUUCCCAUACCCAUCUCGCUAUGCCAUGUUUAAUGUUUUUUUUGAAAAAAAAUUAAAAAAUUUAAAUUACAUUAAAAUAAAUAUAUUUUAUAAAUAAUUAAAAUAUUAUAAUUUUUAUAAUUUAUUUUAUUGAAAAUAUUUAUUAUUAUUCAUAUUAUAGGAAAAUAUAAAUUAAAUUAAAUUAAUUUUAUAUAUAAUGAGGAUAGGGCGAGGUGAGACGAGACAAGAUAAUGCUUGAAUCCAUGUUAAGUUUUUAAAAAAUCUCAAACCCACCCCUAAUCCGUUUAUUUAAACUUCAAAUUCAUCUUAUUAGGGACAGGUACUCGAAACCCCCCGACCCUUCCCCCAUUGCCGUCCUUAUACGUACUGUGUCCUAGAGCCAAAUUGAAUUGUCCCUUGCUCAAAAUCAAAGAUUUACUUUAACAGAUUGAAACUGGCAAAGUGGAAGUGAAAUAUAAUUUCAACUUAAACCAAACAAGGCAAACCAUGCCAUGAGUUAAAGCAGGGUAAUAUCUCUCCGCUUCUCUAUAAUACAAUACAUACCUUGGUAUAAACAUAAUGUACUUUAGAAUAAGGACAUCAUACUUUUGCAAUUUGAGAUCUUCGAAUGCAUCAUGAGAUAUUCUUCGAAUGCAUCAUGAGCGAAAUCUUGGCUUCGACUAUCAAACUGUCAUUUAAUAAGAAGUAUUUGGAUUUGUCAUUGAGAUCACUCAGAGAUACCAUAUUAGGAAAACCCCAAUUUUCGAUUGUGUCACGGAACCAAACCUUAGCUGCAAAUAGACAGACAAAUAAAAAGACGGUUAAGCGCUCUUAGUUAACAAAUCAAUCUUCAGAAGAAGAAAGGAUUAAUAUUUGUUUGACAAAAGAAAUCUAAACAUAAUACAUGGAAAAGUAAAAUAUGCAAUGUACCAUUUGAUUUAACAUGCGAUGGCAUAACAAUUUCAUCAUUGCAUUGAUCCUUUAUCAACAACUCGAAUGCAGUAUACAGUUUCCUUUGAUGAAGUGUUUCACGAUUAGUCAGCUCUAGAAAGAGGGACAGGCUUUUGUUCUUUGCCUUAUUAUUUCCUUUGGGGUAGAGAACCAACCUCCUGCUUCAUUUACAUGAGCAAGAAAUAAACAAACAGUUCACAUUUGGACAUUAAUCCACUUCACUGCAAUCAAGAAAGAAGAGAAAUGAAGGAAAUGCAUUAACACAUGCCAUUUCAAUUCUUUAACAGUGAAUAUUUCAGAGUCUAGGACUUCCUGAUUCAGUGCGGAGAAAUUCUCAAUCGUCCAAGUGAAAGUACCAUCAACAGGAUCCUUUAUCAUGGAAAGACUCUCCCCUUUGCCACUAUAUUUAAUAACAAAAACCUCUGCUCCGAAAAUGCAAGAAUCAUCCAUCAAGUAUCCAUUACGAGGAUCCUUGAGAACAUCCAGUGAAAGAAACUGAGCAAACCCACAUCGAGUCUUCAUCGCAUUGAAGUGCCUUACCUUCCCAUCAGCAUCUAAGUAGAUUGAGUGCAUAAUAUUAGUACAUGCUGUCUUCAUCAUAAAACUGUAAAAGAGAUGUAUUAGCUAAGAAAAAGACUACCUUGGACAGUUAAGUACUUUUCAUGUAUAUGAUUAAACACAAACAAUUUGAAGUUGACAGUAACCUCCCACCCAAGAGGAAGAUUUUGAGCCUCUGAUAUUUCUAAAUAGAGGGAGAUGUGACCUUCCCCGUCACUUUUUUUAUUCCCAUUUGGGUAGAUACACAAGCUCCUGCAAAUAUAGAAGUACUCCAAUUACGAGCAAAAGCAGGAAAAAAAAAGGGUAAAAAAGAGGAUUCAAAAUAAACCCACCAUUUGUAGCCACCCACUUCAAAUGAACCUGAUUCAUAUUUUUCAAUAUCUGUGUUCAGAAGCACUGACAGAGAUUCUACCUUGAAUAAGUAAUGGGCUGGCUGGAUAGAUCUUAAUGUUCUUGAUAUUGCUUCAAUAUUUAAUUUCAAAAGCAUGAAAACAUAGUAUUAGUAUGCACUUAUGGAUAGUAAAGUAAUGGCUGAUGAAAAGUGAUCUUAAAGUGUAAUAAUAAGGCUUGAAUAUCAUCAAGCUUGAAGGCUAACAAGUCAAAAGAAGGAAGAGAGCAUACAAGUGGUGUUACAGAGAGAGGUAGGAUGCAAGGUCUUCUCUGCCACAACU